rnacentral:rRNA from 1 species
GACGAAGGGGGCUAGCGUUGUUCGGAAUUAUUGGGCGUAAAGCGCGUGUAGGCGGCUUGGCAAGUCGGGUGUGAAAGCCCUCAGCUCAACUGAGGAAGUGCGCCCGAAACUGCUGAGCUUGAGUACCGGAGAGGAUGGUGGAAUUCCCGAAGUAGAGGUGAAAUUCGUAGAUAUCGGGAGGAACACCGGUGGCGAAGGCGACCAUCUGGACGGAUACUGACGCUGAGACGCGAAAGCGUGGGUAGCAAACAGG